CUUGUUCACUAAACUAUUUAUACUGCUGUAUUUGUAAAAUUAAUACAUCUACAGAUAUUGCUGAUCAUCAAACUCUGGGAGAAUGUCGUCAAAGCUAUUUACUGUGCUCGUGCUAGUCUGUGUGUUUUGGUUAGAGAAUACUAAUGCCUGGUGGGGCAGAGAUAACAGUUACAUUGUCAAUAGAUCAGAUCAAUCUAUACAUGUAGCGUUAGGCCAUGGUCGUCAUACAACCACAAGAACUGUUGGACCCGGAUCAUAUACCAAAAUCGAAACUGGAAAAGGCCAAAUAACUUUAUGCGUAGAUUAUACUAUUUGUCAUCAUGCGGGUUCCGACACAAGCUUUAUCGUUGACCAAUAUAGAGGAAGUUUAAGAAUUUUCAGAUCUGUCUAUGGAGACAUUCAUUCAAUAGAUUGGUCUAAAAAAUGAACAAUGCUGAUUUGAAAAUCUAUAUAACCUGUAUUUAGAAAUACCCACUCGUGGUAUAAUAAUUAGUCAGUGUUUUAUCAAUGUUAUAUUUCAAAAUAUCUGAAUAUAAAUUAAGAAAAUCUGUAUGAUAAUGUUUUUUUGUAAUGAAAUAAAAUAUUUCUUAGUUUAUAA